GGGUUAGCACUUUGGGGGUUAGUUUUGUUUAGCAUUGUUGUUAACAAUCAAGCCCACGUGCAAUUAAUUAAGUGAUAAUUGCUGAAAGAAAUGUUCCUCAUUUACUGAUGUUAACAAGUUGAUGCUAAUAUGUUUGAGCUAGUCAAUCCGGUUUCUAAAAUAAUUUUCCUGGAUUCAUUUGGAUGCCUAGCUGAAUCCAGCAGUGUUUGUCUGCAGAUAUGUCCUGCCAAGAAACAGCCCAUCUGGAUGCACUUGUGAACUCCGGAUAGAUAUCUUCUGUUUCCUGUCAUUGUUAGGAAGGAGAAUGCUCCAAUGGCUAGAUGAAGAUUGUGUAUUUUUAGACGUUACUUGUAGUUCUAAUAAAUUAGGACGCUAUUUACAGCAA